rnacentral:tRNA from 1 species
GCGGAAUUAGUACAGUGGUAGUACGCUGGCUUCCCAAGCCAGAGAUGCGGGUUCGAUUCCCGUAUUCCGCU